rnacentral:rRNA from 1 species
GACGAACGCUGGCGGCGUGCUUAACACAUGCAAGUCGAACGGUGAAGCGCCUUCCUUUUUGGUGGGUGUGGAUGAGUGGCGAACGGGUGAGUAACACGUGAGUAACCUGCCCCCUUCUUCUGGAUAACCGCAUGAAAGUGUGGCUAAUACGGGAUAUUCUGGGUCUGUCGCAUGAUGGGUCUGGGAAAGAUAUUGUUUCGGUGGGGGAUGGGCUCGCGGCCUAUCAGCUUGUUGGUGGGGUGAUGGCCUACCAAGGCGGUGACGGGUAGCCGGCCUGAGAGGGUGGACGGUCACACUGGGACUGAGACACGGCCCAGACUCCUACGGGAGGCAGCAGUGGGAAAUAUUGCACAAUGGGCGCAAGCCUGAUGCAGCGACGCCGCGUGAGGGAUGGAGGCCUUCGGGUUGUGAACCUCUUUCGCCAGUGAAGCAGGCCUGCCUCGUUUGUGGGUGGGUUGACGGUAGCUGGAUAAGAAGCGCCGGCUAACUACGUG